UACAGAGGUCCCAAGCGUUGUUCGGAUUCACUGGGCGUAAAGGGUGCGUAGGUGGUGAGGUAAGUCGGAUGUGAAAGCUCCGAGCUCAACUCGGAAAUGGCAUUGGAAACUACCUUGCUCGAGGGUUUGAGGGGGGACUGGAAUACUUGGUGUAGCAGUGAAAUGCGUAGAUAUCAAGUAGAACACCAGUGGCGAAGGCGGCGACCUGGGUCGAGACUGACGCUGAGGUGCGAAAGCGUGGGGAGCAAACAGG
rnacentral:rRNA from 1 species